UCUGCUUCGCCCGCCCGCCCGCCGUUGUGAAAAUGAAACCGCGUCGCGUCGGACUUCAAUCUCCCAUUUCCAGCAGGCCGGAGUUCGUUCGUGUCCACAAGCAUUCCUCAGUCUCCACAAACAAAUCUGACACGGAUCCUACUCCACUGUGCUGUGACGCGCUGUGCGAUGCUCGAAAACUCCCGGCACGGAACAUCCGAUCCUUCCGAAGCAGAAAAACAAACACAAAGAGCGAGGCACGAGUUUGAGAGGACGAUGAUGAUGAUGAUGAUGAUGGCGAAAACAAACGAGAGUUUGAGAGGAGCUGAGAAACAAGAAUUGGUAACGAGUACUCCAUUGGACAGCGGUGUAUCGCACGAGGAACAGAACAGUGAAACAGGAGGAGGUGGUCCUCCCUGGGAGGGGAGGGGCGUCACGUACCCAUCAUCCUCCGUGCCGGUGCGCCGGUGCCUGGUCCAUCCGGUUUGUUGCCGAGUCCCAAAUUUUUGGCCUCUGCCUCUGCGUCUAGUUGAGUUGAUGUAUGAUGUAUCUCCCCUCUCCCCACCACCGCCGAUAUCCAGGCAAAGCAUAGCUAUAGCUGGUUUUGUUCGCGGCCGGCCCUCGCGUUGCCAUCGCGCAUUCAAAGCGAGAUCUCCGAGCCAAUCUUCGGCAACUGACCUAACGGUGGUGGUAGGACAGCAGGCUCCGGCUCCAGGUCCUUCUUUUGGUGGU
rnacentral:lncRNA from 1 species